rnacentral:rRNA from 1 species
GAUGAACGCUGGCGGCGUGCCUUACACAUUCAAGUCGAACGGAGUUACUUUGGUGAAGUUUUUGGAUGGAUUUGAUUUAACUUAGUGGCGGACGGGUGAGUAACGCGUGGGUAACCUGCCUUGUACUGGGGGAUAGCAGCUGGAAACGGCUGGUAAUACCGCAUAAGCGCACAAUGUUGCAUGACAUGGUGUGAAAAAAUCCGGUGGUAUAAGAUGGACCCGCGUUUGAUUAGCUAGUUGGUGAGAUAACAGCCCCCCAAGGCGACGAUCAGUAGCCGACCUGAGAGGGUGGCCGGCCACAUUGGGACUGAGACCCGGCCCCGACUCCUUCGGGAGGCAGCAGUGGGGAAUAUUGCACAAUGGAGGAAACUUUGAUGCAGGGACGCCGCGUGAGUGAAGAAGUAAUUCGUUAUGUAAAGCUUUAUCAGCAGGGAAGAUAGUGACGGUACCUGACU